rnacentral:rRNA from 1 species
CAUACUAACCCUGAGGCGUGAUGACGAUGCACUACGGUGCAGAAGUAGUUGAUGCCCUGCUUCCAGGAAAAGCCUCUAAGCAUUAGGUAACAUUAAAUCGUACCCCAAACCGACACAGGUGGUCAGGUAGAGAAUACCAAGGCGCUUGAGAGAACUCGGGUGAAGGAACUAGGCAAAAUGGUGCCGUAACUUCGGGAGAAGGCACGCUGGCAUGUAGGUGAAGUCCCUUGCGGAUGGAGCUGAAGCCAGUCGAAGAUACCAGCUGGCUGCAACUGUUUAAUAAAAACACAGCACUGUGCAAACACGAAAGUGGACGUAUACGGUGUGACGCCUGCCCGGUGCUGGAAGGUUAAUUGAUGGGGUCAGCCGCAAGGCGAAGCUCUUGAUCGAAGCCCCAGUAAACGGCGGCCGUAACUAUAACGGUCCUAAGGUAGCGAAAUUCCUUGUCGGGUAAGUUCCGACCUGCACGAAUGGCGUAAUGAUGGCCAGGCUGUCUCCACCCGAGACUCAGUGAAAUUGAACUCGCUGUGAAGAUGCAGUGUACCCGCGGCAAGACGGAAAGACCCCGUGAACCUUUACUAUAGCUUGACACUGAACAUUGAGCCUUGAUGUGUAGGAUAGGUGGGAGGCUUUGAAGCGUGGACGCCAGUCUGCGUGGAGCCAUCCUUGAAAUACCACCCUUUAAUGUUUGAUGUUCUAACUCGGCCCCGUGAUCCGGGGUGAGGACAGUGUCUGGUGGGUAGUUUGACUGGGGCGGUCUCCUCCCAAAGAGUAACGGAGGAGCACGAAGGUUAGCUAAUCACGGUCGGACAUCGUGAGGUUAGUGCAAAGGCAUAAGCUAGCUUGACUGCGAGAGUGACGGCUCGAGCAGGUACGAAAGUAGGUCUUAGUGAUCCGGUGGUUCUGAAUGGAAGGGCCAUCGCUCAACGGAUAAAAGGUACUCCGGGGAUAACAGGCUGAUACCGCCCAAGAGUUCAUAUCGACGGCGGUGUUUGGCACCUCGAUGUCGGCUCAUCACAUCCUGGGGCUGAAGUAGGUCCCAAGGGUAUGGCUGUUCGCCAUUUAAAGUGGUACGCGAGCUGGGUUUAGAACGUCGUGAGACAGUUCGGUCCCUAUCUGCCGUGGGCGUUGGAAGAUUGAGAGGGGUUGCUCCUAGUACGAGAGGACCGGAGUGAACGCACCACUGGUGUUCGGGUUGUCAUGCCAAUGGCAUUGCCCGGUAGCUAAGUGCGGAAAAGAUAAGCGCUGAAAGCAUCUAAGCGCGAAACUUGCCUCAAGAUGAGUCUUCCCUGGGCCUUUAAGGCCCCUGAAGGAACGUUUAAGACUAAGACGUUGAUAGGCUGGGUGUGUAAGUGCAGCGAUGCAUUGAGCUAACCAGUACUAAUGAUCCGUGAGGCUUAACCUU